rnacentral:rRNA from 1 species
ACGCUAGCUACAGGCUUAACACAUGCAAGUCGAGGGGCAUCAGGAAGAAAGCUUGCUUUCUUUGCUGGCGACCGGCGCACGGGUGAGUAACACGUAUCCAACCUGCCCUUUACUCGGGGAUAGCCUUUCGAAAGAAAGAUUAAUACCCGAUAGCAUAAUGAUUCCGCAUGGUUUCAUUAUUAAAGGAUUCCGGUAAAGGAUGGGGAUGCGUUCCAUUAGGUUGUUGGUGGGGUAACGGCCCACCAAGCCUUCGAUGGAUAGGGGUUCUGAGAGGAAGGUCCCCCACAUUGGAACUGAAACACGGUCCAAACUCCUACGGGAGGCAGCAGUGAGGAAUAUUGGUCAAUGGGCGCUAGCCUGAACCAGCCAAGUAGCGUGAAGGAUGAAGGCUCUAUGGGUCGUAAACUUCUUUUAUAUAAGAAUAAAGUGCAGUAUGUAUACUGUUUUGUAUGUAUUAUAUGAAUAAGGAUCGGCUAACUCCGUGCCAGCAGCCGCGGUAAUACGGAGGAUCCGAGCGUUAUCCGGAUUUAUUGGGUUUAAAGGGGGCGUAGGUGGACUGGUAAGUCAGUUGUGAAAGUUUGCGGCUCAACCGUAAAAUUGCAGUUGAUACUGUCAGUCUUGAGUACAGUAGAGGUGGGCGGAAUUCGUGGUGUAGCGGUGAAAUGCUUAGAUAUCACGAAGAACUCCGAUUGCGAAGGCAGCUCACUGGACUGCAACUGACACUGAUGCUCGAAAGUGUGGGUAUCAAACAGGAUUAGAUACCCUGGUAGUCCACACAGUAAACGAUGAAUACUCGCUGUUUGCGAUAUACAGUAAGCGGCCAAGCGAAAGCAUUAAGUAUUCCACCUGGGGAGUACGCCGGCAACGGUGAAACUCAAAGGAAUUGACGGGGGCCCGCACAAGCGGAGGAACAUGUGGUUUAAUUCGAUGAUACGCGAGGAACCUUACCCGGGCUUAAAUUGCAGUGGAAUGAUGUGGAAACAUGUCAGUGAGCAAUCACCGCUGUGAAGGUGCUGCAUGGUUGUCGUCAGCUCGUGCCGUGAGGUGUCGGCUUAAGUGCCAUAACGAGCGCAACCCUUAUCUUCAGUUACUAACAGGUCAUGCUGAGGACUCUGGAGAGACUGCCGUCGUAAGAUGUGAGGAAGGUGGGGAUGACGUCAAAUCAGCACGGCCCUUACGUCCGGGGCUACACACGUGUUACAAUGGGGGGUACAGAAGGCAGCUAGCGGGUGACCGUAUGCUAAUCCCAAAAGCCUCUCUCAGUUCGGAUCGAAGUCUGCAACCCGACUUCGUGAAGCUGGAUUCGCUAGUAAUCGCGCAUCAGCCACGGCGCGGUGAAUACGUUCCCGGGCCUUGUACACACCGCCCGUCAAGCCAUGGGAGCCGGGGGUACCUGAAGUACGUAACCGCAAGGAUCGUCCUAGGGUAAAACUGGUGACUGGG